GUUCUUCUGCUAUUUAUAAAAUAAUUGUCAGAGGAGGAACUCAACAAUUAUUUGUCUUAUUUGAUCAGUGUAUCUAGGGAGUUAGUAUAAUCCUUUUGGGUCCAAUUAUUUAGAUUCAUUAUUUCCUUGUCCUCAAUUAGCUAGAUAACUGCGUUCCCUUUGGAUGUAGCUACAUUGGCCUGGCCUUACUCGACUCUCAGAGGUUUGGAAAUGUUGAAAUGAUGUGCAGGCAGGCCUGGGAUAAAGAUUUUGCCCUCCUGCAUCACCUAAGAAGAGAAAGGCAGUCAUCAGCCUUGUUCCUGUUCUUUAAACACGCUCCACUCUCUGGUUUGCCCAGGCUGGAGGACCUUUUGCCAGAGAGCUGCUGUUUUAUUUCUUAUUUCAUGUGCUCCCCUCCCGUCUGGAGGCCUGAGAGCCCAGUUUCUUCACGGCUGUGUCCAAACCUUCAGUGGGAUUAUAUUUUUUAGAUUUCAAAAAAUAUUCAUUGAGUGGAUGUGUGUAUUUCUUCAUCGCAGGGACUCAAAACCCAACACCAACAAGUGAAGGCAGAGCUUUACUCGGCUCCCAUUUUUUCCCAUUGUCCACUGACUCCAAAUCGGAGCGGCCUGGCGGAGGGAAGAUGCUCUCGUCAUGGUGGUCAGGAAGCAGAUCAAGAAGGGAGGAGCCAGGGAGGGAGACUUGCAGUUUGUCUGCUGUGUGAUUUUGGGCAACUUGCUUAAGCUGUCUGUUCCUGAGCUGUAAAAUGGAGGAGCAACGCUAGAACUUGUGACUUAAGAUGAGGGCCCGCAGGACCAGCGAAAGACGCGAGCCGCCAUGUCAGCAUCCGUGCGAGUCCUGUGGAGUCCGGAUCAAGCCUCCUCCCAGCUAGGUUGGACGUCAAGACCCCUGGAGCCAUCAGUGGUGUGAGAUGUAUUUCUCACUUGACGAGGCCUUUGGGAGAGCAGGCGGGACCCACACUGGUCCCCUGAACUCAUGGCCUUCUUUGGGGCUUGGGAGUAGUGGGGCCAGGGUCCUUCGGCAGGGCCAGCGGUUUGACCUCUCAGCUGGCACAGGAAAGUACCACCCGACUUUUCACUGGCUGCACUAUGUUAGGCAAAAGUUGGAGUGAUGGGGCCGACAGCCGUCAGUGACCCAACAUUAGAAAUAGACCCUUACACCACAAAGAAGAGGUCAGAGGAGAUUUGAAUGGGGGUCACGGGUCACAUUCUCUGGAAUGAAAUAUGCAUAUUAUAAGGGACCUCAGGCACAAAAGAAGCAGCCAUGGAAUGCUUCCAACUCCUGCUUGCUGUGCUCAAGUCUGUUACCAAAACAUGUAGGACAGGAGUCCUGCACCUUCCCUUAGUGUGGUGUUUUGGUCUCUCCUUUAGCCUCUUCCUUCUGUCUCUAGAUACUGCUAUAAAUGAAUUUUCCUCAAGCCCUGCACGGUGCUUGUGAGACUGCCAGAACCUUUUCAAUCUUAUCGUGCACUAGAUUGAGCCCAGAAUCCCUUGGGAAUAUAAAGGCUUUCAUUUGUCCCCUCUGCCUGUGUCUUGUGCAGUUUGUCGUUUCUGUGACAAAAUGCCUGAGGCAGUUAAUUUUAUAGAGAGAAAAGCUUUAUUUAGCUCACAGUUUUGGAGGUUUGAAGUUUCCCAGACUGCAGCAGCCUUCCCUAAUUCUGUCCCCGAGGAUGCUGUUUGCUCUUCACUUUAGACCUCUGAGGAGGCAGCAUGCUGGUCUGUGUUGUGAUCGGUUGUGUUUUGGUCUCUUCUCUCUUGGGAGUGAAGGUGGUGCAGUUGUGUCCCACAGUAACGGGCUCAGGGUCACUGUGUCUCAUGUGGUGGUGUUUGCCACGUGAACUCCAUCACUUGUCCUCAAGGAGGGAUUGUCUGUCUCCAUGCCUUCCUUUUUCUUUGGGAAAUUUCUAAUAAAAUUUCACCAUGACUUUGUCAUCUGAAUGAACUGUUGUGGAUGUGAGACGUUGUUUAAAUACUACUUCCUUAACUCUCCAGUUCUUUGUAUUUAAAUUUUCUCUGCUUACACCUCUACUACAAAAGUAGUUUUAUUAAAUUAAUGACCCUCCCUUUAGAAAAUACAUGCAGGCUGGGUGUGGGGUGCACUUGGAAGGCUGAGGCAGGAGGACUGCCGUGGGUUCCAGGUCAGCCUGGACUACAUAGUGAGAUCCUGUCUCAAAAAACUCAGUAAAUUUAACUGAGAAAAAUUAAAGAAUAUUACUGUAUUACUUUUCCUUGCCCCCCAAAAUGAUAUAUUCAAACAUUCUUGGUUUUAAAAAUAGAAGCUAUAGAUCUAUAAGUAUGGACUAUGGUAUUAGGUGGUACUACGGAUGAGUGAGGAGCUAAGAAACUAAGAUAAUUUGACAAUUUUGUUAUGAAGAUCAAACUUUUAAAUUAUUUUAUCUAAAGAGUUAGAUCCCAAACUAGAAGAAACCAAAAUAGCACAGCAGGUACUGGGAGUGGAGAAUCUACACAGAUCUGUCGCCUAUUACACAGACCACGGAAGUGUCGUGGGAGCAUUAUGUUUACUUUGGAAGGUAGAAAUAUUAUAGUUAUCUUAAUCUGUAUUAAAAGAUGAAUUCUUUGGGGAAAUUGGCAAUUUUUGCUGUCUUUAUAUUCAUUUUCUUUUUCUAUAGGUAAGAAGUCAGUAUGUAAUAAAUAAAAUGGUGUUUCUAUACACGAGGGUGAUAAAAAUCUACAGUGAAUAUUUAAAUUUUAAAAAUGAUUGUAGUAAGAGACAGUACCAUUAAACUCCCUCCCCUCACUUCUAACACACUUACCCCAUCAUCCUUGUCACCCUCAAGGAGCCCCAGGAGUCCUGUGCCCCAGUGCCUUUCUGUGUGCGGUGUGAUCGAAACAAGGUGACUGCCACCACCCCGUGCCACUCAGCACCAAGCCAGCGCCUAAAAACAUGAGGCUGUGUCCUCAUGCACCCUACUCGCUGGUCUGGCACCGUGCGACUUCUGGCUCUUCAAAGUCAAAAC